UCAAGCUGUAAAGGGCGCAAGGGGAAUGCCUUGGCACUGAGAGCCGAUGAAGGACGCGACAAGCUGCGAUAAGCUACGGGGAGCCGCAAAUGGGCUUUGAUCCGUAGAUUUCCGAAUGGGGAAACCCGGCAGAGCAAUACUCUGUCAACGUACACUGAAUACAUAGGUGUACGUGGGGAACCGCCUGAACUGAAACAUCUAAGUAGGGCGAGGAAGAGAAAUCAACCGAGAUUCCGCUAGUAGUGGCGAGCGAACGCGGAAGAGGCCAAACCGAAGGUAGCAAUAUCUUCGGGGUUAGGACUGCAAUAUGUAGCUUUCAUUUUUAACCGAAUGCUUUGGGAAGAGCAGCGACACAGGGUGAUAGCCCCGUAGGUGAAAAGAAUGGAGUGCUAGCAGUAUCCAGAGUACCAGCGGACACGUGAAACCCGCUGGGAAGAUGGGGGGACCAUCCUCCAAGCCUAAAUACUACUCAGUGACCGAUAGUGGAGCAGUACCGUGAGGGAAAGGUGAAAAGUACCCCGGGAGGGGAGUGAAAGAGAACCUGAAACCUUGUGCCUACAAGCACCGAGAGCACGUUAAAGUGUGAUCGGGUACUUUUUGUAGAACGGUCCGGCGAGUUAAUAUUUGCAGCGAGGUUAAGUAACUGGAGUUACGGAGCCGCAGCGAGAGCGAGUCUGAAUAGGGCGUAUGAAGUUGCAGGUAUUAGACCCGAAACCGGGUGACCUAUCCAUGAGCAGGCUGAAGCGGUGGUAAGACACCGUGGAGGGCCGCACCCACGUCUGUUGAAAAAGCCGGGGAUGACUUGUGGAUAGCGGAGAAAUUCCAAUCGAACUCGGAGAUAGCUGGUUCUCCCCGAAAUAGCUUUAGGGCUAGCGUUAUUUUAGAUUACCGGAGGUAAAGCACUGAAUGGUCUAGGGGCCGCGAGGUUACCAAAGCCUAUCAAACUCUGAAUGCCGGAUAAUUGAUGAAUAGCAGUCAGACUGUGUGAGAUAAGUCUCAUAGUCAAAAGGGAAACAGCCCAGAUCUACAGCUAAGGUCCCAAAUGAACACUAAGUGGAAAAUGAUGUGAAACUGCGAAGACAACCAGGAUGUUGGCUUAGAAGCAGCCACUCAUUCAAAGAGUGCGUAAUAGCUCACUGGUCGAGUGGUUUUGCGCAGAAAAUGUAACGGGGCUAAGUGUUCAACCGAAGCUUAGGCAUUGCAGUAAUGCAUUGGGUAGGGGAGCGUCGUAUGCGGGGCGAAGUCAGAGCGGAAGCACUGGUGGACUGCAUACGAGUGAGAAUGCCGGAAUAAGUAGCGAGAAUUAUGUGAGAAUCAUAAUGGCCGAAAAUCUAAGGUUUCCUGGGGAAGGUUCGUCCGCCCAGGGUUAGUCGGGAGCUAAGCUCAGGCCGAAAGGCGUAGGCGAUGCACAUACGGUAGAAAUUCCGUAACCACCGAACUUUAAGCUAGAGGGACGCUUUCUUUAAGGUUAUCCCGGGCGAUGGUUGCCCCGGGCGUAAGGGACCGAAAUAUAGUAGGGAAGUAACUGGCGAGAGAGACGAGAAAAGCUCUAGUGUAUACUAAGGUGCCCGUACCGCAAACCGACACAGGUAGAAGGGAUGAGUAUUCUAAGGCCAACGGGAGAAGGGUUGUUAAGGAACUCGGCAAAUUGGCCCCGUAACUUCGGGAUAAGGGGCGCCUGCGAGAGCAGGCCGCAGUGAAAAGGCCCAAGCGACUGUUUAGCAAAAACACAGCUCUCUGCUAAAUCGAAAGAUGACGUAUAGGGGGUGACGCCUGCCCGGUGCUGGAAGGUUAAGGGGAGUGCUUAGCGCAAGCGAAGGUGCGAACUUAAGCCCCAGUAAACGGCGGCCGUAACUAUAACGGUCCUAAGGUAGCGAAAUUCCUUGUCAGGUAAGUUCUGACCCGC
rnacentral:rRNA from 1 species